rnacentral:lncRNA from 1 species
UGUGUGCAUGCCUGUGUGCAGACAGCUGUAGUACGGAGCCUUUGGGUCAGAGCUCUGACUCCCCACCUGGUCUGGAGGCAGCCCUGGUCAGCCCCAAGAUUCCCGAGAGGAUGGGCCUGCUUCUUUUUCUCUAAGAUGAGGACAAGGAGCUGGAAGCAGGCUGCGGACCAUCAGGAUCUGUCAGCAGCCCCUUCACACUUUCUAGCAUUGUCCUCCUCACUCUCUCCGCUUCCUCACAGAGACAGCACUGCCCACCAGACCCAUCUUCCUGGGCACACAGCUGGACUACGUUCCCCAGCCUUUCUUGCACUGAGAUGUGGCCAGUUCAGGCCAGUGGAAUCCGAGUGGAAGGGAGUGAGCCACUUUCAGUCCUGGGCCCUGCAAGCUUCCCGCACAUGCUCUCCCUGCACCUCGGCUGGCUGAUGCCUGAGAUCACAGAGACUCUGGGAGGCCCGUGCUGAAGGUGGUAGAACCUCAAGACAGAGGAGCCAGGAUCCCUAAAUCAUUCUGGACACAAAGCUCUAGCUACCUACUUAUUUUGAGUGUUUUUUUUAAAUAGGAGGAAGGAAUAAGCUUCUAUCAUGUUUGAGCCUUGCUGUGUGUGAAAAAAAUAAAUGAGGAAUUUGGUCCCCUCUCCUCUACCUCCCCAUGUGGGACAACCCAGAAAAGCAGGGAAGAGGGGUCUGGAACUCAGAAAAGAGGGUUGGAAGGGGAACAGCUCUGGUGAAGGGAGAGGAACAGGAUGUUACCCAUGAAGCUGAAGUUAGAUAUGUAGCGUUUGACUUCCAAUUUGAAGCUGUUCCUGAACCUGUCGUCUGCCUUCCCCAAACCACCAUGACAAGUGUGCAAGACUCCAAGGCCUUGUGUGGUCAGAGGCUUGGGAAAAUGUAAACAAAAGCGCCACACGUGGGUGAGGCCAGGGGGAUCUGGGCCUGGGGAGGGGGCCUGUGCAGACAGUGCUUACCACAGUGACAAGGAAAGGGUUAAGGGGGUCUGUGAGCAGGAUUGGCUCUCCUCACAGUGAGGGUAGUAAAAUCAGCAUGUCGCC